UUCAAAAUCAUACCUUUCAAUUUUGAUCGUAUACAAUCCUUGUCCUUAUUAUUGCUCGUGACCGCGCCCUUCUCUUCUCUCCAUCAGAUUGCCAACCUAGUCACUAUCUUGUGUUUGAACCAUGUGCACCAAAUUUUUCUAGUGCUUCUUUUUGUGACAAAACCUCAUUGGUUAACUUGGAAUCCAUUCGGUCUAAGCUUACUUUCCUACUUAUUAGAAGAAGGAACAAAGGCACCUCUCCGUCAACGUGUGUGUUUCCUUAAAUUUUUCUAAUUUGUUUAGGGGUAUUUUUGUAAUUUCAUUAAUUUACAGCUCAACCUUAUAGUUGCUGACUCUUUCUGCCGUUGCCAGCACGUGGACUCCCAAUUCCUCAAAGCUAAAAACUCAUUCAAUAGAACUUGUUAGAAGCACCCACUUCCAGGUUGAGCAUUAAUUGCCCCAAAAUCCAUCAGGCCUCACCUAAUAAUUUAACGAAAUUAGAGCAGUUAGCCUUUUCUGAUUCACAUCUAUCAUAAAGAGCAGGUUUAUUCCAAUUACUCCAGCAUUUUAUUUUAUUUAUGCUUUCUGUUCAACUUUUUCUUCUUCUGCAAAAAGAUCAGAUCUUUGGGGUUUUGGCUUGAUCAGCGAUCUUUUCUUCAAUUUAGUCUUAAGAUCCAUUUCAGAAAGGUGAAAAUAAGCUGAGGUUGGAUUUUGAUUCGUUCUCUGUUUUUAUUAAUUUAUUUUGGAUUUCUUAUGUGAAUUCUAAGUUCUCUUUAUUUUAUUUUUUCUGCUAUUCUACUUUCUUUAAAAGAUUGUUAGAAGUUCAUUAACAUAUCUGCUUGUCGGAGGGCAAUUUCGUCUUUACAGUGUUAUUGUGCUAUGAACAAAUCUUGUGGUAUCCCUGUACCAAUGAAUUUGAAUAGGUAAUUUCGCAAGCUAACCUGAUAAUCACCACUUAAUUCUCUGCAAUACCAAGAUUUUCCUCCGCAUCUCCGUCGUCUCUUUGUUUUGAUUCUCUUGGCUUCUCCGCUGAUUUCUAUCUUUUUCAUGUUGCACAUCAAUUUCUGUUAUAUAUUUCAGGAUAGUUUAACAGGAGAUUGUGGUUUUUAUUGUAUUUUUGCAAUUCUAUAUUUGCUCAAGAUAAUAACAUGAUUAAAAGAUUAGUUUUACUGUGUUGUUUCUUUUCCUUCAUAGGGGUGUCUCUUGUGUUUUGUUUCAGGGUUCUUGUUGGGUUGUUCGAAUAUUCAUUAUAAUUUUAUCUUGUUGUUCGAAUAUUCAUUAUAAUUUUAUCUUAAAUUUUUGUGAAAUUCAAAAAACUGCUUAAGAAGAAAUCGGGGUUUCCGCGUAUUUGAAGGUUUUAUCAUUUUUAAAAAUUGGGGCUUUCAUAAUGGAUGAUCCUGUAACUUUCUUGGAUUUGACUUUUGAGCUACACUUUUAAUGGGCUUCUGGUUUAUUUUAAUUUUUCCCUGUAUUUACAUGAAAAAAGAUGACUUAGUCCUUCAUUGUUUGGAAGUUUUGUAUUAUCACUUCUUAUUUCUCAUGCCGAAUUUUACCUUCACAAGCUAUGAGAUUUCAAGUUCCUUCAAUUGAGAUUGGCUUUACUAUCAUGUAAAUAAUAUAAGAGAAAAGAACACCUACGGUGAAUACUAUUUCUAAACUGCGUAAAUUGUGCUAAGCCGUAGUAGUUAUAGUAUUAUUGUCCAAUUAAUUAAUCCGCCAGUUGAUGUGUAUAAUUGUAGUCCGGAGGAGACGAUACACAUUUCUGUUUUUAGAGCAAGAAUUAGAGUUAUUGCUAUAACUACACUUGCGAUAAAGAAGUCACUUCUACACUUUUAUCACCGGAAGAGAUAACAUUUUCUAUUUUACACAACCAACUCUUUUGAAAACAACUAAUGAAUUUUAUUUUAUUCUGUUCGGACACUAUUAUUCGUCCAUUGGUCGAGCAGGAUUUUCAAAGCUUGCAGCAAUUAUUUCCUGAAAUUUUUUGUUUUGAUUUACUGUCCGAAUAAUUACUGUGCAUGUAUUUAGUUACAUGUUUAACUUGCAUUUUAAAGUUGCUUAGUUAUGUAUAUAUAAUUAUUUUCUCUCUGUGUUGCUGAAGUUGGACUGACUCAAUAAAUUUCUUGAGCACGUGUCCUUAUUUGGACAACGUACUCUUCAUUUCUUAAAAGUAUCUUGAAUAGGUAACUAGCUUGUGCUAAACUAUUUUGUAUACACUAGUUACUUACAGGACUGCAAAAAAUAUUGUUAAUUGGAGAGCGAAUUUUGAAGUAUAAAAUUAACUCUGCUGAAUUUGAAACAUCGAAUGGGGUUCUUUACCUACUUUCCAAGCUCAGUGAUUUCUUAAUGGCCAGAAAUAAACUUAGUUGGUAUUUUUAUUUUCAGAUAGUGUUCCGACUUGCUAGAAAUUAGACUGUGGCAUAAGAUACUGAAGAUGCUAUUUGUACCUAUCUUCUUUCCAUUUGUAUUGUAGAAAAACAUUAGAUGACAAUUGUUAAGUGGUCUUGAUGGUUUCAUUUAGCAAACAAAUGUUUUGCAUAAGUCGCAUGAUUAGUGCAAGUUAUGGAAAAAUUGACUUUAUUGAGAAAGUUCGAUUAGUAAAGUUUAUUCCUUUGACACAAAGAUACAAACUAGUCAACUAAAAGGUCUUGUACAUAUCAGAAUUCCAUGCUUUUUUUGAGAAGAUAUGACUUACAUAUGAAAUUUUAAUGGAAGUGGCAUAUAUUUACUUAAUCUUGGUAAACCUUCUUGAGAUAGGGUUUUACCAAGUUCACUUAAGUUAUCAAAUGUAAAUAUGUAUGCUCCUACAGUCAUUACCAAUACGUCUAUGUAUAUCAGUUACGCUAUUCAUCUACUAAUAUUUUUAGAAAGUUUCACUUGAUUCUGCUUCAACAAUGUAAAAGUCAUCAUGAAUAUUUUCAUGGAUCCUCCUUUUAACUCUGUCUUCUACCUUGUGCAUAUCAACCAGGCUAUUAUUAUUGAAGUCGGACAUUCUAGGCAAGUUCGUUUUGAUUUUGGAUGCGGUACAUUGGAAUCCUGAAGCACCAUCACGAACGUUAUUGGACGUCCGCCUGCGACACACGAUCUUCCUUUCUGAUGAAUUAGUUCACAACACAGCUCAGCACGAUCUACUUUUUGACGAACUUAUAUGAUGUUGGAAACUGAAUUUUAGAAGACAAAGAAUAAAAAACUUUAUACGCUUUGCUUUUGGGUCUUUGCAGAUAUUAUCACAUGUACUUUUAUUUACAAUAGUAUUAUUUAUAUCUCUCUUUAGUACUUCCAAAAAUAAUAAUGAAAUAAUCAAAAAAUUUGUGAGACAUCUUGACAAGUGAAUGGCGAAAUAUUAUAGUGAGAAUCAGAAGUACACAAUAUAAACAAUGUAGAUUUUUUUAAGUUGGGCCCGGGCGAAGUCCGGGCUACCCCUACUAGUAUUCUAAAUAUGUCAACAAUUAACAUAGUAA
rnacentral:lncRNA from 1 species